AUCUCAGGGUGUUAAGGAAAGGUUUGUCAGCAGGAGGUUGGGAUGGCUUCAGCAUGCACCAUCUACAGCAAAACCACCAAAUGCUGACGUUUUUGCUGACUCAUAUUCAGGAAAACAUGAUGCGCAGACACAAUGCACUGUAACUCUUUUUCUUUCCCCCACUAACCUCGAAAGUUUCUGUAUUUCGUGCAAUAAAUGGCUGAGGAAACAUGUGCAGUAAUAAGAGAUGAAGAGGAGACCCAGAAAAACUCUGAUGAAGACCCAUUUCAUGAUGCUGAAACAGCAUUGCCUGAUUGCUAUGCUGGCCUUAGUGAAGGCAACAGAAGCUCAGAGGUGCCAGAAAGACUGUCUGUCCUCUCUAGCAAGGCUGUGGCCCAAGCAAAAGCACUUGCUGGACCAUCAGCGGUCAUCAGUGGCAGCCAGGCACAGAGCAAGGCAUCUGCCUUGGCCAAGCACCACCUGAUGGCUGUCAGUGCAUCAGCAGGAGACUUGUCCUGCUCUACAACAAUCUGUAAACCCAAGCCCAGGGGCCUUGCCUCACCGUGCUCUGAAAGUGUCUACUGUAGCUGUGACCAGGAUUCAGAAGCAUCAUGUGUCCCUGGGAUGCCUGACGGGGCUGGUAAGCCCCCCAGGGCAGUCGUGGCCCUGUUGGUGAACAACCUCAGGUGCUGCCAUGUGCCAGCUGAUAGCGCACGGCCUGUGGAGAGCUGCACUGAGGGCAACCCUUGCAGUCUGGGCUCAGCCAUCUGGAUGAAGACCACAACAGUAAUGGAGACCCUAGAAAAUAAGAAAAAGGAGGAAAAGGAGAAGUAUCGGCUCCAGCUAGCAAUGUACCGAAGACUCCUGCUGUUGCGUUCGAUCAGGAGCUUGCACAAGCAGCUGGAGCAGCAGCAGGCCAGGUUACAGGAAUGCUAUGGCAUAGUCAUAAAUACCAAGAAAGAAGUGUUAAAGCACAUUCGUUCAACCUUGCCCUCUCCUUCUCCAUAAUCAUGUUGCUGCAUGCAGAAAUGAGCUUUGUAAUGCCACUGGAGCCGUCAGCAAGCUUGCAUGCCAUGAGAUGGUUUCUUCCAAGCCAAGAGAAUGUGCCCACGUGUGCCGAGAGCAAAGAGGAAAUGGAAACAGCAGAGCGAGAAGAAAGAGGAAGGCAAAGCGUUGGCCCCUGAAUUUGUCUGCAGGGAGCUGGAAUAAGAUUAUAUCUGUGCAAUACCGUAAUGCUUGAUGUGCACUCAAGGCUUCAAGCUUGUGUAUGACAUGAAAU
rnacentral:lncRNA from 7 species